rnacentral:rRNA from 1 species
UACAGAGGUCUCAAGCGUUGUUCGGAUUCAUUGGGCGUAAAGGGUGUGUAGGUGGCGCCGUAAGUGGGGUGUGAAAUCCCGGGGCUUAACCCCGGGACUGCAUUCCAUACUGCGGUGCUUUGAGGACUGGAGAGGAGACUGGAAUUUACGGUGUAGCAGUGAAAUGCGUAGAGAUCGUAAGGAAGACCAGUGGCGAAGGCGGGUCUCUGGACAGUUCCUGACACUGAGCACGAAGGCCAGGGGAGCAAACGGG